rnacentral:rRNA from 13 species
UUUUAUCUAAAUUAGAAAACUAAGUCUUAAAAAGAUUUGAAAAGAAAGUGAAUUGAAACAUCUUAGUAACUUUUAUACAAAACAUCAACCGAGAUUUUGUUAGUAGUGGCGAGCGAAAGCAAAAUAGCUUUUUUAACAAAAAUGAACUAUUGACCAAAGAAGGUUUAAGUCCUGUAAUUUUUUAAUUAUUAAAGCGUAUUCAAGUAGGGUUAUCAAAAAUUAAUCCGAAAAUUGGGGUACCACCCUCAAGGUUAAAGAUUUUUAGUGACCGAUAGUGAAAAGUACCGUAAGGGAAAGGUGAAAUAAGUUUCUUUGAAAAUGAAAAUACCUGAAAUUUAUUGCUAACAAUCAGUUAGAGUUAAUUUAAGAUUAAUGAUAGCGUACCUUUUGCAUAAUGGGCCAGUGAGUUUAUUUAAUUAGCCGCUUAAGCAGAUAUGUGUAGGCGUAGGGAAACCGAAUAUUAAAAUGUAUGUAUGGUUAAUUGAAUAAGACCCGAAACUGAGUGAUCUAACCAUGAGCAGGUUGAAAAAUUAGCAGUAAUGCUUUUUGGAGGACCGAACCCGAAA